UACGGAGGGGGCAAGCGUUGUUCGGAAUUACUGGGCGUAAAGCGCACGUAGGCGGCGCAGCAAGUCAGGGGUGAAAUCUCGGAGCUUAACUCCGAAACUGCAUUCGAUACUGCCGUGCUUGAGGACUGGAGAGGAGACUGGAAUUUACGGUGUAGCGGUGAAAUGCGUAGAUAUCGUAAGGAAGACCAGUGGCGAAGGCGGGUCUCUGGACAGUUCCUGACGCUGAGGCACGAAGGUCAGGGGAGCAAACGGG
rnacentral:rRNA from 1 species